UAAGUGCUUCCUUAGAUCCUAAUUUGUGUUUGCAAUCUUCAACUAAAUUCUACUCAUAAACUUUUCUUUCUUGUAGUUUUAGUAAUAGAAACAUCCAACAAAUCUCUUGCUUGUACAGUAAAAGUUGCUUGAGUCAUUGCUAUGUGAGAUUAACAUACAUGCAUGUUCAUUCUAUUCUCUAACUGAGAUGACAUACAAUCAUGUGUUCAUUCCUGACUAAUAGGACUGUCGAGGGUUUAAUACUCU